UACUAUGGCUCAGUCAGUAGAGCAUAAGACUCUAAAUCUCAGGGUCGUGGGUUCGAACCCGACAUCAGGCAAAA